rnacentral:rRNA from 1 species
UGGGGAAUAUUGCACAAUGGGCGAAAGCCUGAUGCAGCGACGCCGCGUGAGGGAUGACGGCCUUCGGGUUGUAAACCUCUUUCAGCAGGGAAGAAGCGAAAGUGACGGUACCUGCAGAAGAAGCACCGGCUAACUACGUGCCAGCAGCCGCGGUAAUACGUAGGGUGCGAGCGUUGUCCGGAAUUAUUGGGCGUAAAGAGCUUGUAGGCGGUUUGUCGCGUCUGCCGUGAAAAUCCGGGGCUCAACCCCGGACUUGCGGUGGGUACGGGCAGACUAGAGUGUGGUAGGGGAGACUGGAAUUCCUGGUGUAGCGGUGAAAUGCGCAGAUAUCAGGAGGAACACCGAUGGCGAAGGCAGGUCUCUGGGCCACUACUGACGCCGAGAAGCGAAAGCAUGGGGAGCGAACAGGAUUAGAUACCCUGGUAGUCCAUGCCGUAAACGUUGGGAACUAGGUGUGGGUCUCAUUCCACGAGAUCCGUGCCGCAGCUAACGCAUUAAGUUCCCCGCCUGGGGAGUACGGCCGCAAGGCUA